GAGUGCAGACUCUGCCGCCUUCCUCUCGCCACUUGAGCACAUCUGAGUGAGACAACGAACUUCCGCUCUUUUCCCAGAGCCGCCAGCUCGGUGCAGGGUGUUGUUUAAAAGGAAAGAAAAGAAAAGAAAUGACAAAGAUCUCACUGGCCUUUAGAAGAUCAUAACCAAAAAUAAUCAAAACCACUUGCCUCGGAUCAGUGCUUUGCAGUUUACAUUCUUUGGCUAAAUAAGACAUGCAAAUAAACAGUGAACACCUUCGGUAGAAGAGCUACAGACGAGUGCCCAUGGACUCCUGGCCACUGAAAGCUUCAGACUCUUUACCCGUGCGUCCAUCCACUGCUUAGUCACGGAGCCGCCCCGCUUGCUGACGGCGUCCAGCCUGGGCAGGACCCCACGUCUCAGGAGGACCCAAGGCAAGCCGCAGCCCGUCCCCAGAAAGCCCCUUCUGAUCAGUUCUCACUAGAACGUCGCCGGCUGCACUGAGGGAGGCCCCCACAGGCGCGGGAACAGGUGCACUCCCGGCGGUCUUUGGCUGGACAGUACUGACGGUCGCGGGGUUCCAGCCCCACAGCCCCCACCCGGCCUGGGAACAGCGCCCUCCCAUGAAGAGUCUAUCCCCAGGCCAGCCCAGCGACCUGCCAGGACAUCGGGGAAGGAAAGCCAAGAAGACACUCCUUGCGUCCUGCCCGUGUCUCUCUCCCCAGACAAAGCACAUCAGGACAGGUGGGAGCCAAGAUGCCGGGAGGGGCAGCAGGAGGGCUGGGAGGGUGAGGGAGGACGGUGAGCAGAGAGAGCCUCGUUCUGGGGGCC